rfam:Phaeosphaeria nodorum SN15 scaffold_31, whole genome shotgun sequence.
GAAGGAUGAGACACCAGCUGGCACCAGUCUUAGAAGACUUGUACUCUUUACAUGCGGACUAGCUACAAGACAACCUGUCUGAACUCUGAC